rnacentral:rRNA from 1 species
GCAUAUCAAUAAGCGGAGGAAAAGAAACCAACAGGGAUUGCCCCAGUAACGGCGAGUGAAGCGGCAACAGCUCAAAUUUGAAAUCUGGCCCCAGGCCCGAGUUGUAAUUUGCAGAGGAUGCUUUUGGCGCGGUGCCUUCCGAGUUCCCUGGAACGGGACGCCAUAGAGGGUGAGAGCCCCGUACGGUUGGACACCAAGCCUUUGUAAAGCUCCUUCGACGAGUCGAGUAGUUUGGGAAUGCUGCUCUAAAUGGGAGGUACAUUUCUUCUAAAGCUAAAUAUUGGCCAGAGACCGAUAGCGCACAAGUAGAGUGAUCGAAAGAUGAAAAGCACUUUGAAAAGAGGGUUAAACAGCACGUGAAAUUGUUAAAAGGGAAGCGCUUGUGACCAGACUUGCGUCCGGUGAAUCACCCAGCUCUCGCGGCUGGGGCACUUCGCCGGCACAGGCCAGCAUCAGCUUGCCGUCGGGGACAAAAGCUUCAGGAACGUGGCUCCUCUCGGGGAGUGUUAUAGCCUGUUGCAUAAUACCCUUCGGCGGGCUGAGGUACGCGCUCCGCAAGGAUGCUGGCGUAAUGGUCAUCAGCGACCCGUCUUGAAACACGGACCAAGGAGUCAACCUUAUGUGCGAGUGUUUGGGUGUUAAACCCCUACGCGUAAUGAAAGUGAACGCAGGUGAGAGCUUCGGCGCAUCAUCGACCGAUCCUGAUGUUCUCGGAUGGAUUUGAGUAAGAGCAUAUAGGGUUGGACCCGAAAGAAGGUGAACUAUGCGUGUGUAGGGUGAAGCCAGAGGAAACUCUGGUGGAGGCUCGCAGCGGUUCUGACGUGCAAAUCGAUCGUCAAACAUGCGCAGGGGGGCGAAAGACGAAUCGAACCUUCUAGUAGCUGGUUUCCGCCGAAG